CGGGAACACGUACAGAACCUUCCUUUAAGCGGGGAUAGCCCAUAGAAAUGUGGAUUAAUACCCCAUAGUAAUAUUUGAUGGCAUCAUUAGAUAUUUAAAGAUUUAUCACUUAAAGAUGGCUGUGCGGCUGAUUAGGUAGUUGGUGCGGGUAACGGCCCACCAAGCCAGCGAUCAGUAACUGGUGUGAGAGCACGACCAGUCACACGGGCACUGAGACACGGGCCCG
rnacentral:rRNA from 1 species